rnacentral:rRNA from 1 species
UUCUUAAAGUGAGGAAUUUAAGUAAUUUCUGCUCAAUGAUGAUUUAAAUUGCUGCGAAAGCACUAAGGUAGCAUAAUAAAUUGUCUAUUAAUUGUAGACUAGAAUGAAAGAAGGUAUGAAGAAAAUUUUUCUUAAAUUUUUAUAUUGAAAUUAAAUUUUUAGUAAAAAUGCUAAAAUAAUAAUUAGGGACGAGAAGACCCUAUAAAGCUUUAUAUGAAUUUUGAUCAUGUUAAUGAAAGUUUAUAUUUCGUUGGGGCAAUGUUUUAAGAAAAGGAGUUUAAAAUAUUUUUAUUUUAUAAUAUAUUUAAUGGAGCCAGAAUUUUUGAUUUUAUGAAGAAGUUACUUUAGGGAUAACAGCAUUAUUAAAUUGGAUAGUUCAAAUUGAUAAUUUAGUUUAUGACCUCGAUGUUGAAUUAAUAUAAUUAUCUGACGAAGGAGUUAGAUAAAUUAGUCUGUUCGACUAUUUAACUAUUACG